AUGGUCAUUAAGUUGGUACAAAGAAAUCUUCAAGUCUUGAGGCAAAUCAUGCAAGGGUCAAUAUCCUUUGAUCCAUCUCAAAUGGGGAAGUUCAAAAGGACCGCGCGCUGGAGCUCAUAAACGUGUGCCCCUUCUACUUCGUUUACUUAUGUGGCGUGAAGACAUAAAGCAAACCUUUGGAGCCAUAGUUGUCAUUUUUGUCAUCUAAAAUAAUAAUGGUAACAUAUUAAUACAAACAAAAUAAUAUUCUAGCUCAAAAAAUUGUAUGUGAAUAAUGAAUGGAUGCUAUGGAACUAUAUUUUUUAUGGAGCUAUGUAUGUAUGGAUGCUAUGGAA